rnacentral:rRNA from 1 species
UACGUAGGUGGCAAGCGUUGUCCGGAUUUACUGGGCGUAAAGAGCGCGCAGGCGGUCGUUCAAGUCGCGUGUGAAAGCCCCCGGCUCAACUGGGGAGGGUCACGCGAUACUGAUCGACUGGAAGGCAGGAGAGGGUAGUGGAAUUCCCGGUGUAGUGGUGAAAUGCGUAGAUAUCGGGAGGAACACCAGUGGCGAAGGCGACUACCUGGCCUGUACUUGACGCUGAGGCGCGAAAGCUAGGGGAGCAAACGGG